CUCUACUAAAAUACAAAAAUUAGCCAGGCGUGGUGGUGUGUAGCUGUAAUCCCAGCUACAUGGGAGGCUGAGGCAGGAGAAUUGCUUGAGCCUGGGAGGUAGAGGUUGCAGUGAGCCGAGAUCACCCCACUGCACUCCAGACAGAGCUAGACUCCAUCUCCAAAAAAAAAAAAAAAAAAGCAAAUUACCCCAAAACUAGCAGCAUGAGACUAUAAAUGUUUAUCAUUUCACAUAGUUCCUGAGAACCAUCCAGUGAGCUGCUUCACUGGAUGGUUCUGGCUCACAGUCUCUGAUAAGGUUGCAAUCAGAAUGUCACUGGGGGCUUCUGUCAUUUGAAACCUUGACCAGGGCUGGUGGAUCCACUUCUGAGAAGGCUUCUUCACUCUUCUAAGGAGGCUCAGCAACUCACAUGGUUGCUGGCAAAAGGUUUGUCACGUGAACUGUCCCAUGACAUGGCAGCUGGUUUUCUCCAGACCAAGUGGGGAUGGAGAGAAAGACAAAAAGAAUGACCAAGAUGGUGGCUGCAAUGUCUUUUAUAACCGAAUCUCAGAAGUGACAUACCAUCACUUCUGCCAUAUUCUAUGGUCGCACAAACCAACCCUGGUACAAUAUGGGAAGGGACUGUACAAGGAUGUGAAUAUUCAGAGACAGGGAGGCCGGCUACCAGGCCACAGCUGGUUUUCUUUUCUUUUUUUUUUUUUUUUUGAGACGGAGUUUUGUUCUUGUUGACCGCCCAGGCUGGAGUGCAAUGGCACGAUCUCAGCUCACCGCAACCUCUGCCUCCUGAGUUCAAGUGAUUCUCCUGCCUCAGCCUCCCGAGUAGCUGGGAUUACAGGUAAGGGUCACCACGCCCGGCUAAUUUUGUAUUUUUAGUAGAGACAGGAUUUCUCCAUGUUGGUCAGGCUGGUCUCGAAUUCCCGACCUCAGGUGAUCCACCCGCCUCGGCCUCCCAAAGUGCUGGGAUUAUAGGCAUAUGACACCGCACCUGGCCACAACUAUUAAUAACAAUAAGAUAUUUUUUCUCAAAAGCAUGUUUUGGUUAUUAAAUAUAUAUUUCAAAUAUACAUUUAAAUGCAUAUUUCAAUAUAUUUAAUCUUAAACUUUUCAAAUAAUAAUAAAUAAUGAUAUUUACUUAGUACUUUCUAUAUGCCAAUCACUAUGUUAAGCAUGUGAUGUGAGACUGUCUCUCACAGACAGCCUCACAGUUGUCCAGGCAACCCUUAACAGCUCUAAAGGAUGCAUUUAUUAGUUGCCUCAUUUUACAGAAAGGAAACCUGAAGCACAGAGAGGUUUAAGUAACCUGCCCAAGGACACACAUCUAGUAAGUAAAUCAGCAUAUAAACCCAGAGCUAUCCACGUAAGUACCGACAGCAUGGCUAAGCUAUACUGAUUCUCUCUAGUCAGUUUUGUGAAAUAAAUCUCUAACUAUCGAUGCUUUGCAAGUUAAGUACUAUCAUUCUAUUUAAGCAGUUAAGGAUUUCCCUACAGUCACAGAGUAAAUAAACUAAGACUCAAAACUGGAAGUUAGGUUUGUGGAGUUCUGUCACAAUUAUGAUGACAAUAAUGACUCUGUCUUUUCUCCUACUACUCUCCUCUUCCCUGUCUCCUGUCCAGCCACGUUGCCUCCUGGCUGUUCCUGGAACACUCCAGGUGAUUCCAAAACUCCUCCUAGUUAAGAAACAAUGGAUCAAGCAUCCUCAUUUUACAGAUCGAGGAAACUGAGGCCCAGCAUGGUGCCAUGAUGACUCCAGAUCACUGAGGUACUAGGUGAAGUCUCCUAACUUCUAUUCCAGUACUUUUUUUUUAACUAUCUCUCCACUGACCAUAAUUUUUCAACUUUCCCCAUUAUGCCCCUAAUAUUCCAUUAUCCCUAAAAUUACAAUAUUUGGUUUGUAAAAUACAGACCCAAAAGCUAUGCUAUUCUUAGAAUAAUAAUAAACAACACUGCUUGAGAUUGUACAUAACAGGCAGCAGUAAGAGUGAAUCCUGACCCCAAAUCAAAGUGACAGUCAUUAUUGACACUUGACUCUUACAAGACAGUCACAGUUUACACUGUCUGUAUGCAGCAUUUUUGAUUACAUUGACUGAUUCAUUCCCCCAGUAACCCUGUGAAUGAGACAGGAAGGAUGUUAUCAGAACUGCUCCUUUGCAGUUGAGGUAAUUGAGAUUAGUUGAUGUGUUCGAGUUCAAACAACUCAUAAACGGCAGAAACAAGGUUCAAAUCCAGAUUUUGUCUCCAAGUUAGAAUAAGACAAUCUGAGGAUGAAUGAAAAUUUUGGCUUGUUUCUUGUCUUCUUUUCCAGCAUGAAUGAGCAACAAAGUGUUGAACACAAAAGUGUAAGAAACUUGCUGUUACUUGUUAGACUCUAAUAUCCCUGCUUGCUCCAAAGCCUUUCCUUCUCCAGAAGCUCCAUCCUCCUCUCCUCUUUGAGCCACACAUUCCCACCACACUGGAUAUUGUGAGGCUAGACCACUGAUUGCAGCAAAAACCUCAGCCUCAAUCAAAAUGCAUACACAUUACCCAAGAACCAUACCCCAACAUGCUCCCGUAUUUGUAGGGAUUCAUGGAGUAGAUUAACCAGUUAAUACUGAGUUCAUGUGGAGUUCGUAGCCAUGUUGACCAUCUCCUCAUAGAAUGAAUAUGGACCAAAGAACAAGAAACCUAGAAAUGAGAGCUUGGGAAGGUGGGGCCUAUGUUGAACAGGGAAGGUGUUUACUUCUUGUCAAAUUUUCACAUAUCCCGAAGGCAGACAUAGGCUUUCCUAGGGAGUGAAGCAGAAAUUCUACAAGAAUUUUAAAUAGAAAACUGGAAAGGGCCGCUGAAGCUGUGUCUUAGACUCUUAGGGGUACCAGGCUGCCUUCUGCAAUAAGAGAUCACUGACAGAGGAUUUGGGAAGCCGAACUCUAACCCACCUCCAUCAUUUGAGGUCUGUGCAGACAUGCCUAGAAUAAUUUGCCCAGGUGCCACCAUUAAGUACUCCAAUCCACACUUCAUGCUGCUGUUUUUCUAGUUAUCUACCCCUCCCAAUAGGGCAGCUUCUCAAUUACCUCUAGUGCCCUAUUGAUGACUCAUUGAUUUUAACAAUGGCAUUAGAACUUAGAACAAAGUUCUGUUGCCCCAGGAGCCAAGUCAAUCCCAAGUAACUUGUACAGACUCCCUAUACUAAACAAAUAUAUCUGAGGUACUGAUACCCAACUUACGAUGAGGUUAUGACAUCCCAAUGAACCCACUGUAAAUGGAAAACAUUGUGAGUUGAAAAUGCACUUACAUCUAACCUACCAAACAUCAUAGCUUAGCCUAGCCUACCUUAAAUCGCUCAGAACAUUUACCUUAGCCUACAGGUGGGCAGAAUCAUCAUCACAAACCUAUUUUAUAAUAAAGUUUGAAUUUCUCAUGUAAUUUAUUGAAUUCUGUACUGAAAGUGAAAAACAGAAUGGUUAUGGGGUACUUGCAGUGUGGUUUCUACUGAACACGUAUGGCUUUCACACCAUCAUAAAUUUGAAAAACCAUAAGCCAAACCAUUGUAAGUUGGGAACUGUCUGUAUUUGCAGGAGCAGCCUUCUAAGCUGUUCUCCGUGCCUGCAGCUCCCCUCCUCAACCAUCUUGUAUAUAUCCACUGGCUGAAUUUCCUAAAAUUCAGCAUAUCUUUCUUCUACAUAAAAAUAACUUCCAGGUCUUACUUUCUUGUCAGUUGGCUGAUAUAAAAUGUAAAAUUUCAUAUUAAAUUACAUUAAAUAUCAUUACCAUAUCAUAUUAAAUAUCAAUAAAGCAGAGCAGUCAUCUAGUUUUUUACUGCAAGAAGACAUAAAAAUUAGACUUUUGCCAUGAUUAAACUUUACUUUUACUGUGUUUAGAAGAGCAGAACAAAGUUGUAAGAAGCACAGAAGUUUAUGACUACUUGAAAUCAGAUAAAAAUUGUUUAUAUAAUUGAAGAGUCUUAAAAUACAGAAAAUAUUUGAGGUUUUUGCUUUUUAUUUUUUUAUAAUGACGGAAAUAUAAGUUCAGAAAAAGGUAGUAUCUCUAGCUGAAAGACCACUGGAACACUGAUUAAAAGCUUAUGUUAGAUUAAUUUUUAUUUAUAAAAGGCAGUACAGUGCACAGAUUAAGAGUGUGGCCUCUGUAGCCAGUGUGCCUGCAUCCAAAUCCUGCCUCUGCUACUCACAGGCUAUAUAACCUUGGAGAAGUUAUGUGACCUCUACAGACUUCAGUUUCCUCAUCUGUAAAAUGAGAAUAAUAAUAAUACCUACCCCAUAAGGCAGUUGUGAAGAUUAAAUGAGUUAAUAUUUAUACAGUACGUACUCAGCAUAGGUCUGACACAUAGUAAACAUUUUGUAAGAGGUAAUGGUGAUGAUGAUCAUGACGACGAUGAUGAUUACUUCAAGAGGAAAGACAGGAUCAAAUUCAGGGUUACAAAAUCAAAUUCAGAGUUACACGGACUUCUCCAGUUUCUCCUAUGUAUCCUGGUUAAGCAAUUGACUUUUGCAGGGCUGAAUCCUCAUUUGUAAAAUGGCAUCUAUGAUCAUAUGUAAAAUAAUCCUUUGAUUACAGCAAAUCUGGAGAUUUGCUUUCCUGUCUGAUAUUCAAUUAAUAAAGGUUCCAGUUCUAAUCUUUAGAGUCUGGUCAAAAAUUUUUGGAGUCAGGCGAGAUUCAUCCCAUUGCAAGAGAUGGAAAACACAAGUCAAACUGGCUAAAGACAACGGGAAACUUCUCAGCUCAUGGAACUGAAGAAGUCUAGGGGAAGCUCUGACUUCAGGUUCAGCUUGAUCAGAGCCUCAACCAGGGACCUCCGGACUCAGCUUCUCUACAUCUCUCUCUCUCUUUUUCUUUUCUUUUUUUUUUUUUUUUUGAGACAAUUCUCACUCUGUCACCCAGGCUGGAGUGUAGUGACACGAUCUUGGCUCACUGCAGCCUCCGCCUCCCAGGUUCAAGCGAUUCUCCUGCCUCAGCCUCCCGAGUAGCUGGGAUUACAGGCAUGCGCCACCACAUCCAGCUAAUUUGUAUUUUUAGUAGAGAUGAGGUUCCACCAUGUUGGCCGGGCUGGUCUCCAACUCCUGACCUGAAGUGAUCUGCCCGCCUCGGCCUCUCAAAGUGUUGGGAUUACAGGCGUGAACCACUGUGCCCAGCCUAUCUCUUUACUAAGCAGUUUUUGCUUUAUUCUCAGGUUCUAUGUAGAUCCAGGCUCUUGUAAUCAUUAUUGCAAACAGACCCAGACAAAAGGAACAGGUGAAUUUUCCUCAAUAACUCUGCUAAAGUUUCCUUGUACCUACAAAUGGCACAAGAGAUCUUUUUGUGAUUAUAGAAAUAUUCAAAAACCAGAUUUUUGUGGUUACUUUGAAAAUUUACUAAAAAUCAUUGAAUUGUAUACUUUAAAUGGGUGAAUUUUAUGGUAUGUAAAUUAUACCUUAACAAAGCCCUUAAAAACAGUUUCCUUGUAUCACUCUGACUCUGAGGGGUUCACAUGCCCAUUUCUCAAUGGGUCACUAUCUAUCACUGGAUCAGAGGAAUGUGAUGCUCUGAUUGGCCAGGCCUGAAUACCACACCCACUCCCUGAAGACAGGGAUAAAGUCAGUUUCAUCCAAAGCACAGUGACUGACAGUGAGGGUGGAGGGUGGUUCCCCAGUUGAAAAUCAGGUGAAUGAAUGCUGUUUCUUAAAGCCCAAGAACCAAAGUUGGUCUAGGACUAGUCCAGGCUUCCAGGGCCUCUCUGAACUCAAAUCUGGGCCUGGAUAGGCCAAAGCAUUGACACAUUUAUGUCUUAUGAGGCCUAACUUUUUUUUUUUGCAUUCUCCAUGGCAGAUGUCAAAGCAAAGCAAAAUGCAAUGAAGGUGGGAUGAAUCCCAUGCUGGAUUCUUAUUCUUGGAAACACUGAGAGUAACUAUCCCCAGAGAAAUCCAGAAAGUCCUUCUCUCUGCCUGGGUGCUGCCCAGUGCUCACUGGGGCCACUGCAGGCCACAGAUGUGGGAGGUGUACCGUGUUCCCUCUCCAUACCCCAUUCAGCAAGCCACCAGACCUGUGAUCCUUGAGAACAGACAAGGAACAAAUUAUCUACCUUUUUUCUUUUUGGUCACUUUAUAUCUUUUAUCUUGCCUCUCCUUAUCUCUCUCAAACUUGUUUGUCAAUGCUUUUGACUGUGGCUUCAAAGGAGGGAUGAGGUAAUGUAUUAGAAUGAACCAUGUCAUUUAAAUAAUUUACCAGGGCAAGGGGAGAAACAAUGCUUACAGUGCUUGAGGCUCUUUUAACUUUGUUGAAGAAUGGCAAAAUCACAACAAAAGCAGACACAUCUGGAGUGCUUCCCAGAGCAGAGGCACUGUGCUGAGCACUCUACAUCUCUUGUUCUUUUAAUCUUCACAACAUCCCUGAGAAGUGGAUAAUUUUUUCCGUGUUUUACAUGUGAGCAAUGGUUCAGAGAAGUUAGGUGAGGCCACACAGCUAGCCUGAAACAGAGAUGGGCCCUCUGUAAGGUGGGAACUUUUAAACAAAUAACUGCUUGUCUGCCUUUAACAAAUCUGGCUGUCAUCUGCAAGCCCCUUCAUAGUCACCGACAUAUCCUUGAAACCCCCUGGCUUCCAAUGGAAGGGGAAGUAGCUGCCCUCAGCUCACAAGUGCAGAAGCAGGGAGGAGCCACUGACCU
rnacentral:lncRNA from 1 species